AUAAAUUUGGGUCUAGAAGGGAUGACGUAAUGCUAAACCAGAGAGGUGGCUGCCGCCUCCCAGGGCUCCAGUCGCCAGGGCUGCCGGCUGACAUCCCAACCACACGGAAAAGCACCACGACCCAGGGUCUUAGGAAAAGGAAAAAAUCAACUCCUCUGCUGGUGAUGAUCACAAGCCAUGGGCUCAGCCACACUACCUCAUUUUAAUUAGAAGACCAGCACAGAUCUCGAUGGAGGAGAGCAAGAGGUUGGACCAAUGCCGUUCGACCAGAACCAGCUGGCCCACGUUAGCAAGGAGGCAGCCAGGGCCUAAAGCUCAUCUGUGUGGCUCACACUUGCCAAGCUUGGGCCAGAC